UACGUAGGGGGCAAGCGUUGUCCGGAUUUAUUGGGCGUAAAGAGCUCGUAGGCGGCUUGGCAAGUCGGGUGUGAAAACUCCAGGCUCAACCUGGAGAUGCCACUCGAGACUGCUAUGGCUAGAGUCCGGGUAGGGGACCACGGAAUUCCUGGUGUAGCGGUGGAAUGCGUAGAGAUCGGGAAGAACAUCAGUGGCGAAGGCGGUCUGCUGGGCCGUUGCUGACGCUGAGGCGCGACAGCGGUGGGGAGCAAACAGG
rnacentral:rRNA from 1 species